rnacentral:rRNA from 2 species
GGGACCUUCGGGGGUUAGUGGCAGACGGGUGAGUAACGCGUGGGAACCUACCUUUAGGUACGGAACAACAGUUGGAAACGACUGCUAAUACCGUAUGUGCCCUAUGGGGGAAAGAUUUAUCGCCUAAGGAUGGGCCCGCGUUGGAUUAGCUAGUUGGUGGGGUAAAGGCCUACCAAGGCGACGAUCCAUAGCUGGUCUGAGAGGAUGAUCAGCCACACUGGGACUGAGACACGGCCCAGACUCCUACGGGAGGCAGCAGUGGGGAAUAUUGGACAAUGGGCGCAAGCCUGAUCCAGCCAUGCCGCGUGAGUGAUGAAGGCCCUAGGGUUGUAAAGCUCUUUCAGCGAGGAGGAUAAUGACGUUACUCGCAGAAGAAGCCCCGGCUAACUUCGUGCCAGCAGCCGGCGGUAAU